rnacentral:rRNA from 1 species
UACGAAGGGGGGCUAGCGUUGCUCGGAAUCACUGGGCGUAAAGCGCACGUAGGCGGCUUCUCAAGUCAGGGGGUGAAAUCCUGGAGCUCAACUCCAGAACUGCCUUUGAUACUGAGGAUCUUGAGUCCGGGAGAGGUGAGUGGAACUGCGAGUGUAGAGGUGAAAUUCGUAGAUAUUCGCAAGAACACCAGUGGCGAAGGCGGCUCACUGGCCCGGUACUGACGCUGAGGUGCGAAAGCGUGGGGAGCAAACAGG